AGAGUUUGAUCAUGGCUCAGGAUGAACGCUGGCGGCGUGCCUAAUACAUGUAAGUCGAACGGAAGAUGUAGCAAUAUGCCUUUAGUGGCGAACGGGUGAGUAACGCGUUGGUGACCUGCCCCGAAGAGAGGGAUAACAGACCGAAAGGUUUGCUAAUACCGCGUAAUUUCCUUCUAGUUAGAGAGGAGGGAAGAAAGGCCGAAAGGCGCUUUGGGAGGGGCCUGCGUCCCAUCAGCUAGUUGGCGAGGUAAAAGCUCACCAAGGCGAUGACGGGUAGGGGACCUGAGAGGGUGACCCCCCACAAUGGAACUGAAACACGGUCCAUACACCUACGGGUGGCAGCAGUAGGGAAUAUUGGUUAAUGGGCGAAAGCCCGACCCAGCAACGCCGCGUGCACGAAGAAGGCCUUCGGGUUGUAAAGUGCUUUUUAGUGGGAUGAGGAAGGACAGUACCACUAGAAUAAGUCUCGGCUAACUACGUGCCAGCAGCCGCGGUAACACGUAGGAGACGAGCGUUAUCCGGAUUUACUGGGUGUAAAGCGCGUGCAGGCGGUCGGGUAAGUUGGAUGUGAAAGCUCCUGGCUUAACUGGGAGAGGUCGUUCAAAACUGCCGGGCUAGAGUGCAACAGAGGGGAGUGGAAUUCCGAGUGUAGCGGUAAAAUGCAUAGAUAUUCGGAAGAACACCAGUGGCGAAGGCGGCUCUCUGGGUUGCAACUGACGCUCAGACGCGAAAGCUAGGGUAGCGAACGGGAUUAGAGACCCCGGUAGUCCUAGCCGUAAACGAUGUGGACUUGGCGUGGGUGGGUUGAAAUCCAUCUGUGCCGAAGCAAACGCGAUAAGUCCACCACCUGGGGACUACGGCCGCAAGGUUAAAACUCAAAGGAAUUG
rnacentral:rRNA from 1 species